UUCGUCCCACCCUGAAGGGCGGCGGCGCGGGCGGCGACAAGCUUCAGCUCUGCAUUGGGAGCAGCAACGCCGACACAGGCUUCAGUUCAUUGCUAAUCUUGGCCGGUGGUUUCGUUUUGUCUACGGCAUCGGGUUGCUUUCUGCUCCGUUGUGUGGUUGAGGCAUUGGGAGUUCUUGAAGGGAAAUGAUGAAAAUGGUGUAUGAAAAGGUGGACAGCUUGAUAUGGGGGGAGGCACAUAGGUUUGUUAAUUCUGUUUCUGGGCUGGCCUAUGAGAUGGAGACCAAGCAAACUUCAGCAGGUUUCAGGUACCAAAUUAAGUAGGCUUAUGCACAUAAGCUUCUUCAUUGUUUCCCUUCUGGAAACAAAAUUGUUCUCGUGGUAAUUGGUUGGUUCGCAUGCAUGUGCAAUAACUAUAUGCCGAAGGACUGGUCCUAAUUUUUCAGUGGCGCUCCACAUAAGCAGGAUCUAUACUAAUUGUUCCGUUGACUGCUCUCGGGUGAGUUUUUACUCAUUUCCCUCUGAUGCUUUUGUGUCCAUAUGCCUAACUUGGUCUUCUUUCAAAAUUUCUCAUGGUUUAUGUGGUAGUGUGGUUGGCUGACGGCUUAUAACUUUCUGUAUCCUCUAUCUAUGAUAUUCUGUAAGGCUAGGCACAUUUCUUCCCUUCAUAAUUCAGUGUCGAAUUAAUUAUCUUAGCUACAUGGUGAAUCUCGAUA